GAUCAUGGCUCAGAACGAACGCUGGCGGCAUGCCUAACACAUGCAAGUCGAACGAGACCUUCGGGUCUAGUGGCGCACGGGUGCGUAACGCGUGGGAAUCUGCCCUUCGGUUGGGAAUAACACAGAGAAAUUUGUGCUAAUACCUUAUAAUGUCUUCGGACCAAAGAUUUAUCGCCGAGGGAUGAGCCCGCGUAGGAUUAGGUAGUUGGUGGGGUAAUGGCCUACCAAGCCGACGAUCCUUAGCUGGUCUGAGAGGAUGAUCAGCCACACUGGGACUGAGACACGGCCCAGACUCCUACGGGAGGCAGCAGUGGGGAAUAUUGGACAAUGGGCGAAAGCCUGAUCCCAGCAAUGCCGCGUGAGUGAUGAAGGCCUUAGGGUUGUAAAGCUCUUUUACCCGGGAUGAUAAUGACAGUACCGGGAGAAUAAGCUCCGGCUAACUACGUGCCAGCCGCCGC
rnacentral:rRNA from 1 species